GACGAACGCUGGCGGCGUGCUUAACACAUGCAAGUCGAACGGAAAGGCCCUGCUUUUGUGGGGUGCUCGAGUGGCGAACGGGUGAGUAACACGUGAGUAACCUGCCCUUGACUUUGGGAUAACUUCAGGAAACUGGGGCUAAUACCGGAUAGGAGCUGCUGCUGGAUGGUGGGGGUUGGAAAGGUUCGGUGGUUGGGGAUGGACUGGCGGCUUAUCAGCUUGUUGGUGGGGGAGUGGCUUACCAAGGCUUUGACGGGUAGCCGGCCUGAGAGGGUGACCGGCCACAUUGGGACUGGGCUACGGCCCAGACUCCUACGGGAGGCAGCAGUGGGGUAUAUUGCACAAUGGGCGGAAGCCUGAUCCAGCAACGCCGCGUGCGGGAUGUCGGCCUUCGGUUUGUAAACCGCUUUCGCCUGUGACGAAGCGUGAGUGACGGUAAUGGGUAAAGAAGCACCGGCUAACUACGUG
rnacentral:rRNA from 1 species